UUUGGUUACAUUGUUUUGACCACUUCUGCCAGAAUUAUGGACCACGAAGAGGCCAGGAGAAAUAAUGUUGGUGGCAAGGUCCUUGGCUUCUUCUACCAAGUGUUUUUGUUACAUCAACCGGAUGUAAUGGAGGAUCCUAGUUCCCUAGUAAUUGCAGGAGCUGUUUUUGUGAUGUGA